AUAUGUGUUAAACUUGCAAGAUGACAUUAUUAUGAUAGUUGUAGAAACAUUUAGAAUAGCAAGACCAGUAUGUGAGAGUAUUCAACAUCGUAAUAUUAUCAUCUUGUAAGUUUAACACAUAAU
rnacentral:pre_miRNA from 1 species